UACGGAGGGUGCGAGCGUUGUCCGGAAUCACUGGGCGUAAAGGGCGCGUAGGCGGCUUGGGAAGUCUGUGGUGAAAGCUCGUGGCUCAACUGCGAGUCGGCCAUAGAUACUCCUAAGCUCGAGUCGACUAGAGGCAGAUGGAAUUCCGGGUGUAGCGGUGGAAUGCGUAGAGAUCCGGAAGAACACCGGUGGCGAAGGCGGUCUCCUGGGGCAUUCUUGACGCUGAGGCGCGAAAGCUGGGGGAGCGAACGGG
rnacentral:rRNA from 1 species